AAAGAUAUAACCGUGCUUCCGCUGCUGAUGAAAGCAGAAUGGAAGUGAGGAAAGUCCGGGCUCCAUCGGAAAAAAUGCCGGAUAAUGACCGGGCAGUCUUCUGUAGUUGCUGUUUUCAGCAUAACCAGAAGGCUGACAGAAAGUGCCACAGAGAAUAUACCGCCGAAAGGUAAGGGUGCAAAGGCGAGGUAAGAGCUCACCGCAAAAAUGGCAACAUUUUUGGCAAGGCAAACCUCAUUUGGAGCAAAGUCAAGCAGUGGUUUGGUUUUUCCGAGCCUUAGAACCACGGGUAGGCUGCUAAAGGCUUCUGGUAACAGAAGUUUCGGAUAGAUGGUUAUGCGCUGUUGUCUUCUAAAAGAUGAUGGCAGGACAGAACCCGGCUUAUUGUCUUUUCUG
rnacentral:RNase_P_RNA from 1 species